ensembl:lncRNA
GCCAUGGUGACUCAGACAUCCGCCAAACCCAGGAGCUCCCCUUUUCUCCAGCGUUCUUCUUGUCCAGCAGGGAGGCGUGUGGACUGCUUCUGGGCCUCCACUGCCAGGCCUGAUCGCAGCCCAUGACCUUCGCGGAGGGGUGGGGGCGGGGGGGGAGCAACCAAGGGCCAGGGAUGUUGCCCAGCAAGACCGCGGCCUCACUGCGCCACCGGAGGAACAGCCACCGACGAGGCCCGGCGGACCCAGGCGCCGCCACCCACCCAUGCCCGCGGCGGGCCUGCGGGAGCGCAGGGGCCGAGGCCGUGAAGCCGGGCAGCCAGCCUUGCACCAUUGACAGCCGGGGCACGUCUGCGGAGCCCGGGGGAACAAUCAACGGACUCUAUGUCCCGGGAGCUGGGGACACGCCUGUAAGGCCUUUCUGCCUGCUCAUAGCCACUGGGAGAAAAAUCAAGCUGUGCAAUGUUCCAGCCGACUAAAUGGGCUUGCCUUCUGCCGAGAGGCAGUCCUGGAGGACACAACUAAUGUGCAAUCUCCCAGGCAGCUCUUCAUCAGAACAUCCCUUGUCCUUUUGUUUUUGUUUUCGUAUUAAAAGAUGUUUUUGCUUUCCUCUCAGUGUCCGUCCUGUUAUUUUGUAGCUACAACAAUGAAACAGGAACAGUUUAUCAUUCUUUUUUGUCCUUUGUAACCAUGCCUUGUAUUGGGAUGUCACAAAGCCCCAGAUACACCUCAGCGUGCCCUGUGCUUUUGAUGUUUACUUGCUACUCCCCGGGUCACCCAGAGACCCACACUUGAUUCUGCCUUCUGCCCCUCCCAGAUGGUUCUCUCCUGGACAAGGUCCCUCUCCCAGCUUGCAGGGAAAGGGGAUUCACUAAUUUGCUUCUCAAAUUAGAAAAGACCAAACCCAGGUUCUCCAGGUAAGUGAUUCUGGCUUAUACUGGUGACUAAGAUGUUGUAUGGGAGCAUCUCCCCAGGAUCACGUCUCUCAAGGAGAGAGAACGGCAGGCACGUUUCCACAGACAUUUCUAAAACUAUGGCAACUAAGUGAGUUUUACGGAUAAAAUUCUGGUGUAUUCCCAGGCAGCUCAAGUUAUUUAAAUUUUAGUUUUGUUCACAUGUAUGGGCGCACACAGGCCAACUAGGAUUAUGUUACCAGCGCAUUGCCACUGGACAAGUCUGGUGACAGCAACUCAGAUCAACAAACUUAUUUUCUGGAGAGUGACAAAGAAAAAAAAAGGCUCCCCAUACCUUUAAAAUUGUUAUUUUAUACUGUUUAACACCCCCCACAGCCAGGAAUUGGCCAGACUUCCCUGCUUCCUUUUCUAGGAACAGGUAACUAACCACUCUCCCCUCCUCCAAGACUUGGCUAUUUUUAAAAGCUAAAAUUUCUCUUUCCAAAGGGAGGAAAAGGAACGAAUUCCAUUAAUGAAUUACGUACACGGAAUGUGACUUGUCUGGGACAAUUGUAUUUGUAAAUAAAUGGCUUCCUGUUGAUUAUGUACCUUUUACUGAAAAAUGAACUCUAAUGUCUCUGAGCACUUAACAGAGCACAUAUUUCAACUUAUGGUUUACUUUCCACUUGUUCUUUUUUUUUAACUCACUAGAAAGAAAUCGGGUAAAAACUGAGUCAGUCGAGGUGUGGGGGUCGUUAUCCUUCAGCGUCCAUACUGACCUGGGGAAGAGCCACCUCUAAAGUUCUCACGUUUGUCAAAGUGUAAGCAAAGGGGGGUGGCUCCCUGGGAAUGUUAUUGGAACCAAUCUGGAGAGUUUCACUUUUGCCCCUGGGUCUUUGUAAAGAGGACCGCGGCCUCCUUUUGCAGCUUCCAAAGCGAAGCCGGCGCGGAAUCGUCUCGGCGG